CGGGGUAUAGCUCAAGUGGUAGAGUGUGUGCUUAGCAUGCACAAGAUCCUGGGUUCAAUCCCCAGUACCUCCU
rnacentral:tRNA from 1 species